GCCCGUGCUAAAUUUUGUGUUCAAUACCUACCUAGCCUUGAAUCUGUUUCUGUACACAUACGAUUUCUUUCCUUGAAAUCAUUUUUUUUUAAAGUGUUGCCAAGUGCUCUUCUAAUUACAUACAAGUCGUCCCCUUCAAUCAAGUGUUGUCAGGGCUUAUCUGACCUUGUGAGUCUCUUCCAAUUUUUCUGAAUCUCAAGAACAGUUGCACAAGACUGGACUCGGGCUGAAGUCAGAUAAAUCUUGCAUGAGAUUGACUGUCAAAAUUUAAACUGGUUGUCCAAUUUCAAAAAACAGAUGUAAGUUUUUGUUAAAAACACAUAGAAUUGCAUUCUGGAGCUUAAAGAAAGCU